GAAAUGUUAGUCCAACAAAGACAGCUGAUUUCGACUUAGCAAAUUAUGGUUAAAACCCACAACAUUUCU
rnacentral:tRNA from 1 species